GACGAACGCUGGCGGCGUGCCUAAUACAUGCAAGUAGAACGCAGUUUCGAACGGGUGAGUAACGCGUAGGUAACUGCCUUGUAGCGGGGGAUAACUAUUGGAAACGAUAGCUACUACCGCAUACUACCAGAUGUACCUUAGUUGUAUUAGCUAUUUGGUGGGGUAACGGCUUACCAAGGCGCCGAUACAUAGCCGACCUGAGAGGGGGAUCGGCCACACUGGGACUGAGACACGGCCAAGACGCCUACGGGAGGCAGCAGUAGGGAAUCUUCGGCAAUGGACGGAAGUCUGACCGAGCAACGCCGCGUGAGUGAAGAAGGUUUUCGGAUCGUAAAGCUCUGUUGUAAGAGAAGCGGUAUCUUACCAGAAAGGGACGGCUAACUACGUGCCAGCCGCCGCGGUAAUAC
rnacentral:rRNA from 1 species